rnacentral:lncRNA from 1 species
AGUCCGGAGCUUCCGGUCGCCGCGGCCGACCAGCUGAGGGCUCCCGGAGAUAUGGAGCGGGGUCAGCGAGGCCUGGUGGCGCCUCCUGGAGUCUGGGACGAGCGGCGGUCCGAGGAGCAGCCCAGGUGGGGCGAGGAAACAGAUUAUUGGCCGAGGAAAAACCAAUUUCGCUCUAAAGGAUAAGCAACAAAAUACUGAGGGGGGAAAAAGCCUACACAAAUGGAAACAUACGGCACAAAAUCAAGGAGCGACCAGUUCCGCAUGGUUACACUAAAAUGCACUGCACUCCCACUCUCUGGCUUGGCUGAAGAUAACCAGCAAGCUCUGAACAGUUUAAAAGCCUUCCAAGGACUGCAGCAGCACUGGACACACAAGAGAGUCGAGAACAGUAUUGGAUUUAUUGUUAGGGUUACAAUUUUCACGAUCUUUGCAUGCAAAACUUGCCACUCUGAGCCCAGUGAACUAUUUUUAUUUGGUUUACUUACUGGCUUUCUGGAUGACUAGGUAGAGCUUUAACUAAAGAACACUUCUGCUGUGGUCUGUGAUGAUGAAUUUUCCCGUAGUGUCAUUUCUAUAAUGGAAUAGGCAAACUGACCAUUUAGAAUGUGAUAUUCCUAAAUCACAUUCAAAUCAGUCUUAUCAGAGACUUCUAAUCAAUAAAAAUAAAGCACCAGAUGGCUAGAGGUAGUUUUUGACCUCAGCUUGGGCCUCAGCAAAGAUUUUUUGUGUUUUUUUUAACUACAUUAAAACAUCAGAGUUUAAGACACUUUUCUUUGAGCAUCAGAAAUACUCUCAGCUGAAUUUAGAGUUGAACUAUCCGGAAGAACCCUGGAGAAGGAGGGUGAUUUAUUUUCAACUUUCUGAUUUACCACCGACUUAAAUCAACCAAUGAGUUCUUUCUUUGACCAAAAAAAAAAAAAAAAAAAAAAAAAAAAAAAAAAAAAUUCAAGACUUGUGAUGUUUCUAUUUGUUUUGUUUUGUUUAGUUUGGUGUGUGCUUACUCAUUGUCCCAUUCUUUUGAUAACCUGUAUUUAUCUGCCACAAGUUAAACAAAAAUAAAUGAAAUAAGGAACACACCAAAAUCCUGCACUUAGGCCCUGUAUAGACAGUGUGUUCCAAACCUAAGGAGGUGUCUGCAACAGGGGAGGCUGCUGAGUGACUCUGCAGAGAACAGAUGACAUCUGUUAAAUGUCAAACACCAUCACGUCGUACUUCAAGUUGUACUUUACUUGGAACAUGGAAGCCAUCUGUCUGGAGCUCCCACAUCCAUUUCAAAUCUUCAGGGUUCCCCAUUCCAGGGGAGGAGCUGAACCUCCUGACACCGUCCACUUCCCUCCUGCCUCCUUCAAACAUCAUCCCUUUUUUCUCCCGAAUCCCUAAAUGUUUCUGCACCCAAGGGCUCUACCCCAAUAAACACAGCUAAGACUCUUUGAUUCUUAAAAUGUCUUCCUUUAACGUCCCACCCUCCAGAAUCUAUUGUCGUAUGUUUUGUUCACCAAAGGUAAUAAAAAUAAAUGUGGAUUUUGGUGCCGUUAUUUUUCAAAAAAAGCUAUAUAUUAAUAGUUUUUCUUGCUUAUGUAUACAAAUCAAAUUACUUAUUUUUAAAUCCAUCAUUCCCCUAGAGUUUCUGCAGCACUUGAUCCUCUAAUCACCUUGCUCUUGGUCUACCAUUGGCUUGGUUUUUCUCCUUCCUCUGUAGCAGUCCUUUCGUCUUUGUUGACUCAGAUUCUUCCUCCCUUCUAAUCCUCCAAUAUUUUUACCAUCCCCUAAUUGUAAACCACAGGCUUUUUAUCUUUACUGUCUCUCACAGCCCUCAUUUACUAUUACUUCCAUCCCGGAUCCUGGUGACUCCCAACUCCAGAAUAUAUACCCUUAACCUCACUCCUGACUUCCACUAAUACAUUCUGAAUGGUCCCUGCACAAUUCUAUCAAGAUACCCUGCUGUUAAUUUAAUAUGUUCCAAACCACAUUAAUCUUGCAAUAUACAAUCACUUUACACAUACCUCUCCCUUGCUCAAAAACCUUUAAUAGAUUCCCCGUUCCUAUAUAAGUAAAUAUUAACUUCACCUCCUCACCAUCACCACCACCACCCCCUAAUUGGGCCCUG